rnacentral:rRNA from 1 species
UACGGAGGGUGCAAGCGUUAAUCGGAAUUACUGGGCGUAAAGCGCACGUAGGUGGUUUUCUAAGUCAGCUGUGAAAUCCCCGGGCUCAACCUGGGAAUUGCGUUGGAGACUGCAAGGCUGGAGUCUGGCAGAGGGGGGUAGAAUUCCACGUGUAGCGGUGAAAUGCGUAGAGAUGUGGAGGAACACCGAUGGCGAAGGCAGCCCCCUGGGUCAAGACUGACGCUCAUGCACGAAAGCGUGGGGAGCAAACGAGG